GCCUGGGUGGCUGUCGGUUAAGUGACUGACUUCAGCUCAGGUCAUGAUCUCACGGUUUGUGGGUUCAAGCCCCGCAUCAGGCU
rnacentral:tRNA from 1 species